rnacentral:rRNA from 1 species
UGCUCAGGAUGAACGCUGGCGGCGUGCUUAACACAUGCAAGUCGGACGAUGAAGCCCUUCGGGGUGGAUUAGUGGCGAACGGGUGAGUAACACGUGAGCAACCUGCCCUUGACUCUGGGAUAAGCCUGGGAAACUGGGUCUAAUACCGGAUAGGACCCCUUGCCGCAUGGUGGGGGGUGGAAAGCCUUGUGCGGUCUUGGAUGGGCUCGCGGCCUAUCAGCUUGUUGGUGGGGUGAUGGCCUACCAAGGCGACGACGGGUAGCCGGCCUGAGAGGGUGACCGGCCACACUGGGACUGAGACACGGCCCAGACUCCUACGGGAGGCAGCAGUGGGGAAUAUUGCACAAUGGGCGGAAGCCUGAUGCAGCGACGCCGCGUGGGGGAUGACGGCCUUCGGGUUGUAAACCCCUUUCGGCAGGGAACAAGCCGCUUCGGUGGUGAGGGUACCUGCGGAAGAAGCGCCGGCUAACUACGUGCCAGCAGCCGCGGUAAUACGUAGGGCGCGAGCGUUAUCCGGAAUUAUUGGGCGUAAAGAGCUCGUAGGCGGUUUGUCGCGUCUGCUGUGAAAGCCCGGGGCUCAACCCCGGGUCUGCAGUGGGUACGGGCAGGCUGGAGUGCAGUAGGGGAGACUGGAAUUCCUGGUGUAGCGGUGAAAUGCGCAGAUAUCAGGAGGAACACCGAUGGCGAAGGCAGGUCUCUGGGCUGUAACUGACGCUGAGGAGCGAAAGCAUGGGGAGCGAACAGGAUUAGAUACCCUGGUAGUCCAUGCCGUAAACGUUGGGCACUAGGUGUGGGGGCCAUUCCACGGUUUCCGCGCCGCAGCUAACGCAUUAAGUGCCCCGCCUGGGGAGUACGGCCGCAAGGCUAAAACUCAAAGGAAUUGACGGGGGCCCGCACAAGCGGCGGAGCAUGCGGAUUAAUUCGAUGCAACGCGAAGAACCUUACCAAGGCUUGACAUGUGCCGGACCGUCCCAGAGAUGGGGCUUCCCUUCGGGGCCGGUUCACAGGUGGUGCAUGGUUGUCGUCAGCUCGUGUCGUGAGAUGUUGGGUUAAGUCCCGCAACGAGCGCAACCCUCGUUCCAUGUUGCCAGCACUUCGGGUGGGGACUCAUGGGAGACUGCCGGGGUCAACUCGGAGGAAGGUGGGGACGACGUCAAAUCAUCAUGCCCCUUAUGUCUUGGGCUUCACGCAUGCUACAAUGGCCGGUACAAAGGGUUGCGAUACUGUGAGGUGGAGCCAAUCCCAGAAAGCCGGUCUCAGUUCGGAUUGGGGUCUGCAACUCGACCCCAUGAAGUCGGAGUCGCUAGUAAUCGCAGAUCAGCAACGCUGCGGUGAAUACGUUCCCGGGCCUUGUACACACCGCCCGUCAAGUCACGAAAGUCGGUAACACCCGAAGCCGGUGGCCCAACCCCUUGUGGGAGGGAGCCGUCGAAGGUGGGACUGGCGAUUGGGACUAAGUCGUAACAAGG